GACUGUUGAAGAUAUCUACUUGGUAGUCUAAACCUCAAAGGAGCUUAGGGAAGUGAUGGCAGUUGCAGGGUAUGAACCAGGCGACCAUGCAGAGACCAACGAGGCGACCAAACAGUCCAUCGUGCAUACCACAUAACCAGGUCCAGAAUGCCAGUUUUCUUUAAGGGCAGCUGACAAUAAGAAUUGUCUAUGUAUGCACUACAGAUGCUGUUCAAUAUCUUUUAAUGAGGAAGCCUGCUCAAAAAGAUCGCCACAUUUUCUUUAGGGGAAGUUGACAUUAAUCUUUUAGGUUAAUAAUAACCUAUGCAUGCAGUACAGAUGCUGUUCAUCAUCUUUUCAUAAGCAAGCCUGCUCAAGAAGGUAAGAAUUAAAUUUUGCUUUUAGAUUACUGAUCAGCAAUCUGAAAGUAAAUUGUUAAUGGGAUGGAAUUGAUUAAAUGUAAAUAAAGAAAUGCUAUCCUAAUUUUGAAAUAUGCUGGUUGUGGGUUU